rnacentral:tRNA from 1 species
AGGCUUGUAGCUCAGAUGGUUAGAGCACACCCCUGAUAAGGGUGAGGUCGGUGGUUCAAAUCCACUCAAGCCUACCA